rnacentral:rRNA from 1 species
AAUGGCCGAGAGGCUGAACCAGCCAAGUCGCGUGAAGGAAGAAGGAUCUAUGGUUUGUAAACUUCUUUUAUAGGGGAAUAAAGUGGAGGACGUGUCCUUUUUUGUAUGUACCCUAUGAAUAAGCAUCGGCUAACUCCGUGCCAGCAGCCGCGGUAAUACGGAGGAUGCGAGCGUUAUCCGGAUUUAUUGGGUUUAAAGGGUGCGUAGGUGGUGAUUUAAGUCAGCGGUGAAAGUUUGUGGCUCAACCAUAAAAUUGCCGUUGAAACUGGGUUACUUGAGUGUGUUUGAGGUAGGCGGAAUGCGUGGUGUAGCGGUGAAAUGCAUAGAUAUCACGCAGAACUCCGAUUGCGAAGGCAGCUUACUAAACCAUAACUGACACUGAAGCACGAAAGCGUGGGGAUCAAA